rnacentral:rRNA from 1 species
GUACACAAAAAUGCACAUGCUGUGAGCUCGAUGAGUAGGGCGGGACACGUGGUAUCCUGUCUGAAUAUGGGGGGACCAUCCUCCAAGGCUAAAUACUCCUGACUGACCGAUAGUGAACCAGUACCGUGAGGGAAAGGCGAAAAGAACCCCGGCGAGGGGAGUGAAAAAGAACCUGAAACCGUGUACGUACAAGCAGUGGGAGCCUCUUAAUGGGGUGACUGCGUACCUUUUGUAUAAUGGGUCAGCGACUUAUAUUCUGUAGCAAGGUUAACCGAAUAGGGGAGCCGAAGGGAAACCGAGUCUUAACUGGGCGUUAAGUUGCAGGGUAUAGACCCGAAACCCGGUGAUCUAGCCAUGGGCAGGUUGAAGGUUGGGUAACACUAACUGGAGGACCGAACCGACUAAUGUUGAAAAAUUAGCGGAUGACUUGUGGCUGGGGGUGAAAGGCCAAUCAAACCGGGAGAUAGCUGGUUCUCCCCGAAAGCUAUUUAGGUAGCGCCUCGUGAAUUCAUCUCCGGGGGUAGAGCACUGUUUCGGCAAGGGGGUCAUCCCGACUUACCAACCCGAUGCAAACUGCGAAUACCGGAGAAUGUUAUCACGGGAGACACACGGCGGGUGCUAACGUCCGUCGUGAAGAGGGAAACAACCCAGACCGCCAGCUAAGGUCCCAAAGUCAUGGUUAAGUGGGAAACGAUGUGGGAAGGCCCAGACAGCCAGGAUGUUGGCUUAGAAGCAGCCAUCAUUUAAAGAAAGCGUAAUAGCUCACUGGUCGAGUCGGCCUGCGCGGAAGAUGUAACGGGGCUAAACCAUGCACCGAAGCUGCGGCAGCGACGCUUAUGCGUUGUUGGGUAGGGGAGCGUUCUGUAAGCCUGUGAAGGUGUGCUGUGAGGCAUGCUGGAGGUAUCAGAAGUGCGAAUGCUGACAUAAGUAACGAUAAAGCGGGUGAAAAGCCCGCUCGCCGGAAGACCAAGGGUUCCUGUCCAACGUUAAUCGGGGCAGGGUGAGUCGACCCCUAAGGCGAGGCCGAAAGGCGUAGUCGAUGGGAAACAGGUUAAUAUUCCUGUACUUGGUGUUACUGCGAAGGGGGGACGGAGAAGGCUAUGUUGGCCGGGCGACGGUUGUCCCGGUUUAAGCGUGUAGGCUGAU